AACUAAAGCUGUUCUUUUCCUUUUUGAAAGAAAAACGAAUGAAAGUCUUUACUACCAAAUUUCCUUUUCCUGUGUUUCUUAAGGCACUGCCUUAACUAAGUUCGCCUGAGAGAGCACUCGAAGAAAUGCAUUAAUGCUCUGUGUGUGUCUAUUCAAUGAAGAGUGGCUCUGAAUUGAAAAUGGUGUAAAUGGGCAUUUGAUUUUGUGGCUCAAUGGAUUUAUUUCUGUUGGGUUUUUCAUUUCUCUUCUUCUGCACUUAAUUCGAGUGUCCCUGAAAAUUUUGGGGAUCCGGGUCCUGUGUUUUUAGGGUUUGACCCUUUAAAUAAUUCAUCUUCUUCUUCUUCUUCUUCUUCUUCUUCUUUUUGUG